rnacentral:rRNA from 1 species
AUUGAACGCUGGCGGCAGGCCUAACACAUGCAAGUCGAACGGUAACAGGAAACAGCUUGCUGUUUCGCUGACGAGUGGCGGACGGGUGAGUAAUGUCUGGGAAACUGCCUGAUGGAGGGGGAUAACUACUGGAAACGGUAGCUAAUACCGCAUAACGUCGCAAGACCAAAGAGGGGGACCUUCGGGCCUCUUGCCAUCGGAUGUGCCCAGAUGGGAUUAGCUAGUAGGUGGGGUAACGGCUCACCUAGGCGACGAUCACUAGCUGGUCUGAGGGGAUGACCAGCCACACUGGAACUGAGACACGGUCCAGACUCCUACGGGAGGCAGCAGUGGGGAAUAUUGCACAAUGGGCGCAAGCCUGAUGCAGCCAUGUCGCGUGUAUGAAGAAGGCCUUCGGGUUGUAAAGUACUUUCAGCGGGGAGGAAGGGAGUAAAGUUAAUACCUUUGCUCAUUGACGUUACCCGCAGAAGAAGCACCGGCUAACUCCGUGCCAGCCGCCGCCGUAA